rnacentral:rRNA from 1 species
GAUGAACGCUGGCGGCGUGCCUAAUACAUGCAAGUCGAGCGAACGGACGAGAAGCUUGCUUUUCUGAUGUUAGCGGCGGGCGGGUGAGUAACACGUGGAUAACCUACCUAUAAGACUGGGAUAACUUCGGGAAACCGGAGCUAAUACCGGAUAAUAUUUUGAACCGCAUGGUUCAAAAGUGAAAGACGGUCUUGCUGUCACUUAUAGAUGGAUCCGCGCUGCAUUAGCUAGUUGGUAAGGUAACGGCUUACCAAGGCAACGAUGCAUAGCCGAACUGAGAGGCUGAUCGGCCACACUGGAACUGAGCCACGGUCCAUACUCCUACGGGAGGCAGCAGUAGGGAAUCUUCCGCAAUGGUCGAAAGCCUGACGGAGCAACGCCGCGUGAGUUACGACGGUCUUCGGAUCGUAAAACUCUCUUAUUAGGGAUGAACCUAUGUGUAAGUAACUGUGCCCUUCUUGACGGUACCUAAUCAGAAAGCAACGGCUAACUACGUG